CUUGACCUUAUUCGAUGGCAGGUCGAGGUAGGAGUCCCGGAUGGCGUUGUUAACAGCAAUGCGAGUGACCUCUUGGCUGCUGUUGAGUCUGCAAUACCAAUUUUAAUUUCAGUGCCUCCGAUAACUUUUGAGGUUUUAUAAAGACUAUAGAUUGAGACUCACGUGAUGAUGGGGAACUUGGAGAUUUUGUAGAACUCUUCCAUCUCCCAGGAGAAGUUGGCGUGCCCUUUGUCCCAGAAGUAGGAGUCGGUGGUGGUCAGGAUCUGGAAGGCCUCCGGGUGUUCCCUCCGGAGGAGCUCGGCGCCAAAGAGUCCAUCUGCAACGACGCUCUCGCCUCCGGUGCCGACGUGCUGCUUCAAGCAGUGGAUGAAGAUGAUCUGUGGAAGGGGGACGAUAGAAUCAGUAAUGACAAAACAUUAUACAAAACUCAAAUCUCUUUAGUAUGAAAAGAGAUGUACUGACACGAGCAUGAAGAAAUCCUCCUUACCCUUGGCAGAGCAUAAACUCUCCUCCUGAGGGCUCUGGCUGUUGGCGUGAAUGCCCUGGCAUGGAGCCAUUCUGCUGGGUACUCGGACACGUGCCCG